UGGUCUGUCUUCAUGAGCUUGCCAAGGCAACCUCAUAAAUUUGAAGCAUUUUCUCGUUUAGUAUGAGCUCAAACAAAAAAUUUAGUUCACACACAUAUUUUUUAUCCCAAUUUCCAGCAAAUCCUUUCAUAUUCUACAUACUGCUAAAAGAUAACUACCGAACGAACAUACUCAUUCUCCAGAACUAAACUCAACCAAAUUACGGUGCAAAACAACAAUUUUGUAACGUGUACGUGUUUGUGUUGAAUGGAACAUUCUUGUGAUUUUCCCAUGUCUCUGUUAGUCUUUAUGCAGAACUUUCACCUUGUGUAUCAUCGCCACAUGACUACCCUCCACUCUUGCUUUGGCUCCAUCACUUUAUUUCACUCCUGUUGACUGUUGUCACAUGGCUGCCUUGUAUAGCUCCAGAAAGAAUCCACUAUGUGAACUUGGGAGCUCACCGGUGUAACGUGCUCUGUAGCUUCACUGCAACACCUCAUCAUGCUCCGUGAUGGUGCCACUGCUCCAUGCCAUUUCAAAUGAUUAGCAUCUCAUUGUUUUAUAUAGCCAUAACAUAUAUUUCUUAUCCAUGAAAGCUGAAAUAUGAUAUAGUUUAUUUUUUCCUUGCAUGGUGUCUUUCCAAAUAUGAACAUUGGUAGAGAAAAAUACUUUAUGAUCUCUGCGAGACAUUACAGCGAACACAUGGUACACAACUGAUAUCAAAAUAUGUACCUUAGCAGCAAAAGGCCAUGGUUCAUCGUCUGCACUCAGCAUCAUUGUAAUGGGCACAUGUUCCAUUUUAAUACCUUCAGUUCUGUUGUUAGCAUGAAAACAAAUAUUGCUGGAACUAAAUCAUGCAGUCAAAUUAGUAUGAAGACACAAUAUUCUUAAUUAAUAGGUCAAUCAGUUUAUAGACAUAUUAAUAUCCCUUCCACAGUCAGGUUGUUGUAUAUAUAAGCUAUAAAUGUGCAAUAUCAUCAUGCAUAUCCCUAUGACAGUAAUAUUUGUAGCUUUGUAAUAUGGGAGAAUAGAUCCUUUGAGGAAAAAUUUAUGGAAAAUAGGGCCAGGCAAAAUGAUUAUGAUAUCCAUCACAUGUAAUAGUUUGGCCGUGAUGCUCUAUGUCAUGCAUGUUUCGAAUACAACAAUCUGAUGAAGAGGAAGAAAAAAGAGGAAGCGGGUUGAUUGAUCAAUAUGGUGUUAGAACAGGAGAUGAAUGAGAAGAAUAGAAGUAAUGAGAGAGCGGUCAGGAGGGGAGAAAAAAGUCAGAAGAAGAUCACCAGGUUACUCAUGUUUGUUUCCUUCGCAAACUUCGUGCAUUCGCCGAGAGAGGAACCAGGAACAAGAGAAGGACCGGGCGAGUGCCUCCAACACAUCAUCACUUUGGCUCAUGAUUAAAAAGAAGUAUUUCAGAUAGUAAAGUACAAUACCAAACAAUAUGAGCAGUGUUGCAAUCAGUCUGAGUAAAUACUACUCCCUCCGUCCGGAAAUACUUGUCUUAGACAUGGAUAAAAUGCAUGUAUCUAUAACUAAAAUAAGUCUAACACCAUUUCUAGGACAAGUAUUUCCGGACGGAGGGAGUAUAUAACUUCACUGAUUUCACAAUAUUUCCCUAAUUAACACAUCAAAUCUGUGGUUGGCAGAGAAUAUAUUUUUCAUUAGAAUCUACAAUGGUGAUAUAUUUUCAGAAACAUAAACACUGUACUUGCCAACCUAUAUUAACAAGUGACUAUUACUUAACAAGUUGACUAUUACUGUAUUACAGAUUCACUUUACAAUACAAUAUGAGCAGUGUCGCAAUCAGUCCAGUAGAUACUAUAUAACUUCACUGAUUUCAGAAUAUUUCCCUAAGAUAAAAUAUUUUGACUUUCAUUUGCCCAUAUUAACAUAUCUAAAUCUGUGGCUGGCAGAGAAUAUAGUUUUCAUCAGCAUCUACAAUGGUGAUAUAUUUUCAGAAAUAUAAACACCGUACUUGCCAACCUAUAUUAACAACUUGACUAUUACAGAUUAACUUUAUGCUUGCAAAGAGGCUUCCAAAUAAUCUUUAUCUGUUUGUCUAGCUCUAUCAAGGCACAGCCCAACUCCCCUCUCAAGAUCUUUAUAAAUGAUCCAUUAGCUAGCAAAAAAAACAACUUGUAUAUUGCUGGGCAUAUUUUUAGAAUCAAACUUUUUAGUAAAAACACCUGCCUUCAAAAGCCUUGGGUCUUCCUCAGUUUCAUAGUCUACAGUUUCUUAACUGAAAGUGAAGAUAGAUGCUGGGUCGGGACCAGCUGAAACUUGGAUCAGAAAGCAAGUGGAAUGAAACAACAAUCUAUCCUAAGCCGUUUGAGGUGAUGGAGUACGGAGCCGCUGCUCGCUGAAGGUUGAUGAUAUUACUGGACAUUCAGCUGUCUGAAGCAAAGAAUCUUCUUUCAACCCUUUCUCAAAAGGAAAAAUCAAUGUGACCACAUGAAGAAGAGAUAGAAGAUGAGAGUUACAAUCAAGAUGUAGGCCGUGCCAGUCAGGCUUAUUCUGCGCAUUGGUAGGUGGCGGUGCCAAAGAUGGGGCAGGGGAGUCUGCGCCUCCACUACGGCAUGUGAUAUGCACUGGACGUCACCAAACGAUCUCCGGGGACGAUUGAGCGAUGGUGGCUUGCCCAAUUAAAGAGCCCCUGUUUGCGGUCUCAGGCCACCCUCGUUCCUUCACCAGUGUUGCUGACAGGCCGCCGAUGACAACUGACUGUUGUAAGAGGUGCAGACCCAAUCCUCGGCCUCCAACACGAAAUCGAUCCAUGACAAAUGCUACCAAAAUAAGCCACAUGAUUUUCUGACACUACAAUUCAGAAACUACUAAAACCAAAUUCAUGUUGCUAUUUGGACGCACAAAUACUCUGCAUCAACUAAUGCAUUGUGCACGGAAAAUGGGGAAUUACCUCUUGGUACAACCAGGAGCUUCAGGAUUUACUUUUCCUGUUAAUUCCACCGACCACAUUGAUGUAGCUCCCUUACUUGCUGAGUCUAUUCCUCUGCUGCUGCACGAGCAUAAACAAUAGUAAGCGAUUUAGCCAAUGUGAAGUCAUCGUUUUACUUGCACCUAUCUUAAAUCGGAAGUGAAAAAACAAACUCAACUAUGCACAUCAACAGAAAUCAUCGUCAACAAAGCCAUAAUGGACUGCCAUGGGAAACAACACCAAAUAAAGCAUCAUGAGUUCAUAUAUGUAUAAGAAAAAAA
rnacentral:lncRNA from 1 species